rnacentral:rRNA from 1 species
GAUGAACGCUGGCGGUAUGCUUAACACAUGCAAGUCGAACGGUCACUUCGGUGAUAGUGGCGGACGGGUGAGUAACGCGUGAGAAUCUGUCUUCAGGUCGGGGACAACAGUUAGAAAUGACUGCUAAUACCGGAUGUGCCUUUGGGUGUAAGAUUUAUUGCCUGAACAAGAGCUCGCGUCAGAUUAGCUAGUAGGUGGUGUAAGAGACUACCUAGGCUCCGAUCUGUAGCUGGUCUGAGAGGACGAUCAGCCACACUGGAACUGAGACACGGUCCAGACUCCUACGGGAUGCAGCAGUGGGGAAUUUUCCGCAAUGGGCGAAAGCCUGACGGAGCAAUACCGCGUGAGGGACGAAGGCUUUUGGGUCGUAAACCUCUUUUCUCAAGGAAGAUGAUGACGGUACUUGAGGAAUAAGCAUCGGCUAACUCUGUG